GGUAGAUUUUCCCUGCAUGUAGGAGGAUCCAUAAAGGCCAAUAUCACAUAGUUUUGGAAAGACAUGAAGUCUGCUGGACUUACGAGUCUGGAGAAGAGGA